rnacentral:rRNA from 1 species
CCUACGGGAGGCAGCAGUGAGGAAUAUUGGUCAAUGGACGCGAGUCUGAACCAGCCAUGCCGCGUGCAGGAAGACGGCACUAUGAGUUGUAAACUGCUUUUGUCCGGGGGUAAACGCAGAUACGCGUAUCUGUCUGAAAGUAUCUUACGAAUAAGCAUCGGCUAACUCCGUGCCAGCAGCCGCGGUAAUACGGAGGAUUCAAGCGUUAUCCGGAUUUAUUGGGUUUAAAGGGUGCGUAGGCGGUCGGAUAAGUUAGAGGUGAAAUCCCGAGGCUCAACUUCGGCAUUGCCUCUGAUACUGUUAGGCUAGAGAGGAGGUGAGGUAGGCGGAAUGUAUGGUGUAGCGGUGAAAUGCUUAGAGAUCAUACAGAACACCGAUUGCGAAGGCAGCUUAUCAAGCUACUUCUGACGUUGAGGCACGAAAGCGUGGGGAGCAAACAGGAUUAGAUACCCUAGUAGUC